rnacentral:rRNA from 1 species
ACGGAAGGCAGCAGUGGGGAAUAUUGCACAAUGGGCGAAAGCCUGAUGCAGCGACGCCGCGUGAGUGAUGAAGUAUUUCGGUAUGUAAAGCUCUAUCAGCAGGGAAGAUAAUGACGGUACCUGACUAAGAAGCACCGGCUAAAUACGUGCCAGCAGCCGCGGUAAUACGUAUGGUGCAAGCGUUAUCCGGAUUUACUGGGUGUAAGGGGAGCGCAGGCGGUACGGCAAGUCUGAUGUGAAAGCCCGGGGCUCAACCCCGGUACUGCAUUGGAAACUGUCGAACUAGAGUGUCGGAGGGGUAAGUGGAAUUCCUAGUGUAGCGGUGAAAUGCGUAGAUAUUAGGAGGAACACCAGUGGCGAAGGCGGCUUACUGGACGAUAACUGACGCUGAGGCUCGAAAGCGUGGGGAGCAAACAGGAUUAGAUACCCUGGUA